rnacentral:rRNA from 1 species
UACGUAGGGGGCAAGCGUUGUCCGGAUUUAUUGGGCGUAAAGAGCGUGUAGGCGGCUAGGUAGGUCCGUUGUGAAAACUCGAGGCUCAACCUCGAGCUGUCGAUGGAAACCAUCUGGCUAGAGUCCGGAAGAGGAGAGUGGAAUUCCUGGUGUAGCGGUGAAAUGCGCAGAUAUCAGGAAGAACACCCGUGGCGAAGGCGGCUCUCUGGUACGUGACUGACGCUGAGGAGCGAAAGCGUGGGGAGCGAACAGG